UUGGAGUGGGACGCCUUACAGAACUCAUUUCUUGCCUUUUACCAGAAGUGACCUUGAAGCGCCCGCAAAACUCCGUUCUCUCAAUCUUUGGAACACCACGGGUU
rnacentral:snRNA from 1 species